GCCCCAAUAGCUCAGUCGGCAGAGCAACUGACUCUUAAUCAGUGGGUCCUAGGUUCGAAUCCUAGUUGGGGCACCA
rnacentral:tRNA from 1 species